rnacentral:rRNA from 1 species
UACGUAGGGUGCAAGCGUUAAUCGGAAUUACUGGGCGUAAAGCGUGCGCAGGCGGUUGUGCAAGACCGAUGUGAAAUCCCCGGGCUUAACCUGGGAAUGGCAUUGGUGACUGCACGGCUAGAGUGUGUCAGAGGGGGGUAGAAUUCACGUGUAGCAGUGAAAUGCGUAGAGAUGUGGAGGAAUACCGAUGGCGAAGGCAGCCCCCUGGGAUAACACUGACGCUCAUGCACGAAAGCGUGGGGAGCAAAC